rnacentral:rRNA from 1 species
ACCGCAUACGAUCUAAGGAUGAAAGCGGGGGAUCGCAAGACCUCGCGCGAUUGGAGCGGCCGAUAUCAGAUUAGGUAGUUGGUGAGGUAAAGGCUCACCAAGCCAACGAUCUGUAGCUGGUCUGAGAGGACGACCAGCCACACUGGAACUGAGACACGGUCCAGACUCCUACGGGAGGCAGCAGUGGGGAAUUUUGGACAAUGGACGCAAGUCUGAUCCAGCCAUUCCGCGUGCAGGAUGAAGGCCCUCGGGUUGUAAACUGCUUUUGUACGGAACGAAAAGGUUUCUAUUAAUACUAGGAGCUCAUGACGGUACCGUAAGAAUAAGCACCGGCUAACUACGUG